rnacentral:rRNA from 1 species
GACGAACGCUGGCGGCGUGCUUAACACAUGCAAGUCGAACGGAAAGGCCCUGCUUUUGUGGGGUGCUCGAGUGGCGAACGGGUGAGUAACACGUGAGUAACCUGCCCUUGACUUUGGGAUAACUUCAGGAAACUGGGGCUAAUACCGGAUAGGAGCUCCUGCUGCAUGGUGGGGGUUGGAAAGUUUCGGCGGUUGGGGAUGGACUCGCGGCUUAUCAGCUUGUUGGUAGGGUAGUGGCUUACCAAGGCUUUGACGGGUAGCCGGCCUGAGAGGGUGACCGGCCACAUUGGGACUGAGAUACGGCCCAGACUCCUACGGGAGGCAGCAGUGGGGAAUAUUGCACAAUGGGCGGAAGCCUGAUGCAGCAACGCCGCGUGCGGGAUGACGGCCCUCGGGUUGUAAACCGCUUUCGCCUGUGACGAAGCGUGAGUGACGGUAAUGGGUAAAGAAGCACCGGCUAACUACGUG